rnacentral:misc_RNA from 1 species
GACGAAGAACGCAGCGAAAUGCGAUAAGUAGUGUGAAUUGCAGAAUUCCGUGAAUCAUCGAAUCUUUGAACGCACAUUGCGCCUUCUGGUAUUCCGGAAGGCAUGCCUGUUCGAGAGUCAUUAACAACCGUUUCGAUCCCUUUCUUUCAGAAAUUACAAAGAGGAAAAGGGUUUGGUUAUGGUGGAGGAGGGAAAGGGAGCGUUUAGCCUGUAAAAAAAGAGGCUGUGUUCCGCCUCCCCCCCAAAAUUGUACAGGCGGUCGUGUGCGCCCACGCAUCGAGGUGUUGUAAAAGCUGCCACGGCACUUUUCACCUGUGCAGUGCGAGAUUGGCCAGCCGGUUUAAAAACCCCUCCAAACAAUCAAAGGUUGACCUCGGAUCAGGUAGGGAUACCCGCUGAACUUAAGCAUAUCAAUAAGCGGAGGA